UAUAGUAGCGGUGAUGAACAAUCAGAGGUGAAGUUGCUCCUGACGCGCUGUAAAUAUUUAUCUCUUCAAUAUUGUUUAAUACAUUAGUGAGGGCAAGGCUUGUGGUUGAGGGCAAGGUCAGGUGUCUGUGGGGCAAGGCUUGUGGUUGUGAAUGCUAGGUGUUCGGGAUGCAAUGAAGUCAGGGCAUUUGGCUUUGCGAACUGGCAGGUGGCGUACAGGCCAGUCAAAUGUCAAGAUAAUUGGAAAAGGUUGAUGAAGCUAUAAAAAGUUGAUAAGGGAGGUAGGAGUUAUUAGCCAGAAUUUACUCGACUAAAUGUGGUCACCAAAACAGCUGCAGUUUUCUGCUAUUUUUUUAAAUAAUUUUUUUAUUAAUUUGCAGGAAUACUACGUGUUUCUGAAAAAAACCGAAAGUAGGAUCCAAUCGGUCACGCUGUAUUGUUUUUAUUAAUUUUGUCACUUCCCACAUA